AUACUCUGGUUUCUCUUCAGACUGCAUAAAUCUUUCGCCUUUUACUAAAGAUUUCCGUGGAUAGGGAACCAAGGGUAGUUCUCCCCAUUAAAUAGGAUUCAGUAGGAAGAGUU